rnacentral:lncRNA from 1 species
GGCAGGUAGUCUAGUGGUUAGAGGCAGGUAGUCUAGUGGUUAGAGGCAGGUAGCCUAGUGGUUAGAGGCAGGUAGCCUAGUGGUUAGAGGCAGGUAGCCUAGUGGUUAGAGGCAGGUAGCCUAGUGGUUAGAGGCAGGUAGUCUAGUGGUUAGAGGCAGGUAGUCUAGUGGUUAGAGGCAGGUAGUCUAGUGGUUAGAGGCAGGUAGUCUAGUGGUUAGAGGCAGGUAGUCUAGUGGUUAGAGGCAGGUAGUCUAGUGGUUAGAGGCAGGUAGCCUAGUGGUUAGAGGCAGGUAGCCUAGUGGUUAGAGGCAGGUAGCCUAGUGGUUAGAGCGUUGGGCCAGUAACCGAAAGGUAGAUCCCUGAGCUGACAAGGUAAAAAUCUGUCGUUCUGCCCCUGAACAAGGCAGUUAACCCACUGUUCCCCGGUAGGCCGUCAUUGUAAAUAAGAUUUUGUUCUUAACUGACUUG